AGAUUGAACGCUGGCGGCAUGCCUUACACAUGCAAGUCGAACGGCAGCACGGGAGCAAUCCUGGUGGCGAGUGGCGAACGGGUGAGUAAUAUAUCGGAACGUGCCCAGUCGUGGGGGAUAACGCAGCGAAAGCUGUGCUAAUACCGCAUACGAUCUAUGGAUGAAAGCGGGGGAUCGCAAGACCUCGCGCGAUUGGAGCGGCCGAUAUCAGAUUAGCUAGUUGGUGGGGUAAAAGCCUACCAAGGCGACGAUCUGUAGCUGGUCUGAGAGGACGACCAGCCACACUGGAACUGAGACACGGUCCGGACUCCUACGGGAGGCAGCAGUGGGAAUUUUGGACAAUGGGCGCAAGCCUGAUCCAGCAAUGCCGCGUGCAGGAUGAAGGCCUUCGGUUGUAAACUGCUUUUGUACGGAGCGAAACGGUUCUCUCUAAUACAGGGCUAAUGACGGUAACCGUAAGAAUAAGACACCGGACUAACACGU
rnacentral:rRNA from 1 species